rnacentral:rRNA from 1 species
AUUGAACGCUGGCGGCAGGCCUAACACAUGCAAGUCGAGCGAGCGGCGGACGGGUGAGUAAUGCCUGGGAAUUGCCCAGUCGAGGGGGAUAACAGUUGGAAACGACUGCUAAUACCGCAUACGCUGGGAUUGCACAGGUGGGAUUGGCUAGUUGGUGGGGUAAUGGCUCAACAAGGCGACGAUCCCUAGCGGUUCUGAGAGGAUGACCAGCCAAACUGGAACUGAGACAAGGUCCAGAUGCCUACGGGAGGCAGCCGUGGGGAAUAUUGCACAAUGGGCGAAACCCUGAUGCAGCCAUGCCGCGUGUGUGAAGAAGGCCUUCGGGUUGUAAAGCACUUUCAGCGAGGAGGCGUUACUCGCAGAAGAAGCACCGGCUAACUACGUGCCAGCAGCCGCGGUAAUUC